GACCGUGUGGCCUAAUAGAUAAGGUGUUUGACUUUGGAUCAGAAGACCGAGGGUUAAAGUCCCUUCGCGGUCA
rnacentral:tRNA from 1 species